rnacentral:rRNA from 1 species
GGGCUCGCAGGCGGUUUCUUAAGUCUGAUGUGAAAGCCCCCGGCUCAACCGGGGAGGGUCAUUGGAAACUGGGGAACUUGAGUGCAGAAGAGGAGAGUGGAAUUCCACGUGUAGCGGUGAAAUGCGUAGAGAUGUGGAGGAACACCAGUGGCGAAGGCGACUCUCUGGUCUGUAACUGACGCUGAGGAGCGAAAGCGUGGGGAGCGAACAGGAUUAGAUACCCUGGUAGUCCACGCCGUAAACGAUGAGUGCUAAGUGUUAGGGGGUUUCCGCCCCUUAGUGCUGCAGCUAACGCAUUAAGCACUCCGCCUGGGGAGUACGGUCGCAAGACUGAAACUCAAAGGAAUUGACGGGGGCCCGCACAAGCGGUGGAGCAUGUGGUUUAAUUCGAAGCAACGCGAAGAACCUUACCAGGUCUUGACAUCCUCUGACAAUCCUAGAGAUAGGACGUCCCCUUCGGGGGCAGAGUGACAGGUGGUGCAUGGUUGUCGUCAGCUCGUGUCGUGAGAUGUUGGGUUAAGUCCCGCAACGAGCGCAACCCUUGAUCUUAGUUGCCAGCAUUCAGUUGGGCACUCUAAGGUGACUGCCGGUGACAAACCGGAGGAAGGUGGGGAUGACGUCAAAUCAUCAUGCCCCUUAUGACCUGGGCUACACACGUGCUACAAUGGACAGAACAAAGGGCAGCGAAACCGCGAGGUUAAGCCAAUCCCACAAAUCUGUUCUCAGUUCGGAUCGCAGUCUGCAACUCGACUGCGUGA